rnacentral:rRNA from 1 species
UACGUAGGGUGCAAGCGUUAUCCGGAAUUAUUGGGCGUAAAGCGCGCGCAGGCGGUUUCUUAAGUCUGAUGUGAAAGCCCACGGCUCAACCGUGGAGGGUCAUUGGAAACUGGGAGACUUGAGUGCAGAAGAGAAGAGUGGAAUUCCACGUGUAGCGGUGAAAUGCGUAGAGAUGUGGAGGAACACCAGUGGCGAAGGCGACUCUUUGGUCUGCAACUGACGCUGAGGCGCGAAAGCGUGGGGAGCAAACAGG